rnacentral:tRNA from 1 species
GGGUGCGUCGCAUAGCGGCAAUUGCAUCUCGCUGUAGACGAGACGCCUUUAUGGCUCCGGGGGUUCGAGUCCCUCCGCACCCA